GACACGACUCUCGGCAAUGGAUAUCUCGGCUCUCGCAUCGAUGAAGAGCACAGCGAAAUGCGAUACGUGGUGCGAAUUGCAGAAUCCCGCGAAC
rnacentral:rRNA from 2 species